AGGCCGCCGCCGCCGACCGGCUGCCGAUCUUGCUCGAGCUGUUCGUCUAGCCUGCUGCUAGCUGGAGUAGAUCUCAAUGCUUGUUAAUUCAGGACUGCUCCAGCUGUUCGUCUAGUCUGCUAGCCUUCUUAGUCCACCUUGUAUAGAGUAUGUUCUUGCUGGUAGCUGGUUAGAGAAUGUUUUUGCAAGUUAGCUGGAUGUUUGCUUUGGAUCUGACAUUGUUUUUAACUGAUGGACUGGAGUGGAGAUUUACAUGCACUUGUAUACAUAUUGCAGAUAAAUUCGUUUGUUCUAAAUGCAAUUGAGAGAUUCUUGCACUCAGAUUCCUCUUAUGUGAAUGUGCUUUCUGUUUUUUGCGGGAACUUCUAUGAAUCGGCUCGACCUCGGAUUCAUUUUCGGCCAAGAAAUCCGGAUUUUGGCCAUCUCGGCCUCGGACGAAACAUAGCUUUCAGCCGAGAAGUGGAUUUUGAUCAAAUUUCCUCCAAUUUUUGGUUAAAUGUUGGUAAAAAUUCUAACCAAUUUUUUUGAAAUAACCAAAAUUUGGCCAUCUCGGUGUAGGACGAAAAGAGUCCCAAACCCAAAGAAGUCCCAAACCAAAAACUCUGGUUCACCCCUAUUGUAUAGAUGACCAGUAGAAAUGACCAUGCGUUGCAUCGGGCAAGAAAAAAAAUACAAAACCUUCUUGUUAUAUCAUUAUGCGGCAUUAAUUGUAAUAAACAUGUAUAAUAAUGUUAAAUGUUUUUUAAAAAAAUAUUAGGUACUGCUUACAUAAAAAUGGAUGAAUUUUUUAUAAUAGUUAUAUUUUUUGUUAAAUUUUUAAAUUUCUUGUAAAAGAUAAAUUGUUAAACAUUUUUUUCAAAAGGAUCUUUUUAUUGUGGGGUAAUAAUGUUGUUUUUUUGAUGGGUAAUGGCAUUUUUAUGUAGAACAUAUUUCCAUAAAUAUUUUUUGAAUCAUAUUUUCUUAUUUUUUUGCACAACUUGCUUCAUGUGCCAUUAUGCAUCAUUUUUAUAUGGAUUUUUAAUAAUUGUUGAUGAUAAGUUAAAUGUUAAAUUAUUUUAAAAAUUGAUGUAUGCAUAAAAAUUGUAAUACUUUCUAGGAAGUAUUGUUUUUAUGAAUUUUUUGCUUUUCUUUGAAAAGGAACUUUUUAAAAUAAUUUUUUUCUUUAACAUUUUAUGAAUUUUGGGCUUGACCCAAACAACUCGCAGUACAAUAACAAUUGACGGUAUUAAAAAAACAUUAUCGUUUGGUACAGAAAAUGCAGCAUCAUCUCUUUCGUCUCUCCCGUUCCCAUUUCAUUUUUCGCAUUGGCUACCUGUUUCCUCUGCAUCGAGGCUACACCAAACCCGCACGGCCCGAGCGAAAAAACAUCACCACACCACGAGCAUUGGCUCGGCUGUCUCCUUGCCCACGAAGUCGCCGCCACUGCCGCCGCCACCACCCACGCUGGCCGCUUCCGACGACCUACGGCUCCGCGCAGCACGCUCCCGAGCUCCCCACGGUCCGCGCGUCCCUCCCCUCCGGCCAAAAUCUUCGCUCCCGUCCUCUACCGCCCGCUCGGAACCACCCUGUGGCUAGGGUUUCGGGCAGUGCUGCACCGGCGCAUCUCCAGCGGCCUUAGGUUAGUCCCUCCGACGCAUCUCCAGCGGCCUUAGGUUAGUCCCUCCUUCCUUCUUGGCUGGGAUCCGCCACCGUGCCUUACCUCUUCGUCGCCCCCCUGUUGCCUUCCUGCUGCUCUCCAACUCCCCCUCUCUCAGUUCGUCUCUCUCUGUUUUCUGCAGGAGCUCCGUGGCGUCGAGUCUCUCCGACGUUUGCUCACCAGCAGCGGACGGACCUCGCCGGCGACGUGCAGGUCAUAUGCCAUGGUAAUGAACUUCCUGCAGUUCAGUUGCGUGAUUUUGCCUAUAUGGUAUUUUCAUAAAUUCAUAAAUAAGUCAAAAGGUAUUAGAAUCUAGGUCUUUAUUGUGAGAUGCAACUAAAAGAGCUUUUACUGUAGGCUACUACAAUUAUUUUCUGUAUUCCUCUGCUUGCCAAGUUAUUAAGCGUAGAGAAACGUAUGCACUAAUCAGGCUAGAGAGACUUACACACUACAAAAAUAUUUUUCUGCUCCUACUAGUUACACCGUUGCUCUCCUCUGUGUUCAUGUAACUCCACAUAUCUUUCUGCUUCACAAGUUAUUGUGCACCUUUAGCUGUAUAACUUACACACAAGGGCCGGGUGAUUUCGCCACAGGCUCUAGCUAGCAGCCACAAGUCCAGGAGCAAGCAGCAAGAAGCGAUAGCCACAAGUCCAGGAGCUAGCUAGCGAUCCGGGUGUUUUCGCGGCCACCACAAGAGCAAGAAGCACAAGUCCAGGAGCCAUUGCGCCAUGGUAGGACCUCGAGCUCCUGGCCCGCUUCCAUGUAACCUUCAUGACCUCGCCAAGCCUCGAUCUAGCUGGCCACCGACCGGAUCCGCCGGAUCCCACCCUCCCCGACUCGUUCCCGGCUUUCCCUUCGCGUGACAUCGUCGUUCAUCACCAACUUGUUGCCGCUGCUGCUCCUAUUUGUCAGAGAUCGAGGAGGACCUUGCUGCGUUGACCACGCCCCCGUCGUCUGUUUCCUCCCACUCGAUCUGCCCACAUGGACCCAACCUGUUGCCAGCCCGCGAUCGAGCCGAGCAAGCUAGCCCACGCACGCACCUCACCUCGCCGCUGCACCGCCCCUCACCUCGCUGCUGCAGAGUCUGGAUACAGUAGACUAAAUACAGUAAAAUACAGAAGAAACUCAGAUCACUGUAUUUGUUCCUCGCAAUGGACCUCAAUAACAUGGUCGGAAUAAUCCAUUUUUUCCGCUGAUUUACAGCACAAGAUCCUUCAUUAUUGACAAAUGAGUUCUGCAGACCGGCUAGCACAGAAUCAAAAUUACUUUCUUCAGGUAUACUAUCGUGACCAGAUAGAUGUUGACGCCGCAGCAGGUGACUGCAUCCAUUGUUGUCCCAUGGAGUCGUCUCCAUGUUCAGCAAAAUUUUCAUUAACAGUGUGAAAUUGUCUAGAUUCUGGAAUGGUUCCAUUAUCCACUUUCGGGGUAAUUAAAUCAGUGUUUGCAUUAUAAAAUACCCGAUGUUGCUCUGCAAAAUGAUUUUAUCAACACAAAGAAGUUUUUUGAGAUGAAAAUAGGAAGUAAUGAGAAAAGAAGAAAUUUGUAUGACAUUUAGUGGACCAGAUGAGUGCAGAAAUCUUACCAUGAAUAUCUGAAUCGUCAUUCGUGUUUGCAUCAUUGUCAUCUGCAACACCAUUCGGGAGGACAUUACGGAUAACAUAAUCUGCUGGCAGCUUUCUCCUCCCCCAACUCAUACCGCUGGAACCAAGGCUAUAGGCGGGGACGAACGCAUCAGGGUGCUCUUCCAGGCGGCGGCGAGGAGGCUGGGGGUGACCAAGAUGGAAGGAGGGACGUCGUGGGUUGUGAGCGGGCGGUAGAGGACUGGAGCGGGCAGCUGGCCGGAGGGGAGGGAGGCGAGGACCGUGGGGAGCUCGGUGGCGUGCUGCGUGGUGCCGGAGGUCGGGUGGUGGCGGCGGCAACUUUGUGGGCGAGAGGGAGAGGAGGCGAUCCCGAACGAAACUUGACUACGUCUCGACAUUGACAAUACAAUGAUUCGAUUGCCCGUCGGAGUUGAGGACAAGGGCGCGGAUCAUUGCAGAGGAACGUGGGGACAGAGUGGAACGUCGAGGCAAAGCGUGAUCUUCAACUUGUUGGCGCCAUCUUUUGAUAGGAAGAAGAGGGAAGAGGUUCAGUUUGUUAAUCAACAGCUCCCUUUUCGUAGUAGUAACAAUCAUCUACAAUUAUGGGCAACAAAUUUUCGCCGAGCUUCCCAUUUCCGCCUCCAUUCUAUGUAAAUAAUUAAGGUACUUAUUAGCUUUUAUUGUUGCCCUAACUUUAGCCACAUCAAUUGAAUAUUGUUGUAUUUUUGUUCCAUCAACCUGAAAAGCAACAUAAACAUAAUAUCAAGAGAAAUCCGCUCAGGUUUUCUAUAUAUACAAAUAUCAUGAAAGAGAGACUACUUCGAUACAUUUCAAUUUUCUCUACAAAUAACACCUUUGUACUUUAGUGAUCUAUAAAAUGUCUAAUACUAGUUUAUAGAGGAAGUACUUAAUACGGUCAAUAAGAUUAAGUUAUGUAACUUGAAAAUUAUUACCAUGAAAGCCUCUUUCAAGAGAAGAGAGAGAGAGAUCAUUCCAUAUGUCGUAACGACAGUUGACCUACCAUUAUUUUCUCUCUAUAUAGAAAUAUGGAGUACUCCCUCAGUUCCUAAAUAUAAGUUUUUUUAAAAGAUUUCACUAGGAGUCUAUAUACAGAGCAAAAUGAGUGAAUCUACACUUUAUAGUAUGCCUAUAUGCAUCCGUAUGUAAUGUGGAACCUCUAGAAAGACUUAUAGAAAUUACACCAAGGUCCCUUGGGAACUGGCCAAUUCCAUCAUCCUGAGGAGGCCUUGGCGUGUUGCUGCCGCUACUCAAUAGCCAUCGCUGCAUGGGUCUGUCACUACCUAGAUGAUGUGGCAAUUAGGAAGUCACUGUACCUAGGCCCCUGGAUGACCUAUACCCUUGAAGCCAGGUCAUGAUCGUCGGAAAGAGAAUAUAUCUCGAAGCCGAUGCACUGGAUCCCACAAUGAUGACGAGCAUCGCUGCGACGAGGAUGGUGGCAAAGGACAGAACUCCAUUACACAACUAUCGUUCUUGCCUCAACGUCAGCACCUGGAACCACCAAACGACCGCCCCUGUAGAACGACGACCACAUCAAACUUGCACUCUUCCACGCCAUUUGCAAAAGCUACCAACUUGGUGGAUGAGAAGACGAGGAACUUUAUUUCACUUGGCGACAUCGUCCACCCCCCCCCCCCUCCACCGCGCCACCCAUCCGAUCCGACCCAACAAUCUAGAGGCACAACCUUCUAGAACUCAUCAACGGGAGAGAUCAAGGAGAACAUGCAUCAAGCAGGUCACCGCCUUGACGCGAGAAGAACCAUAGGAUCGCCUCCUUAUAAAAGCAAAUUUAGCAGUUCCCAUGCCGCCGAUAAGAUUAGCGAAGAGAAGGCGACCACGACGUCGCACACUCGCACAUACCCAGAACGCCUAGAUCAGACCCAGAUGCCCGAUUCGAACCCGUCGUAGCUGCAAUGUCGAUGCACAGAUGUCGAGCCGCACGCCUGUGCCUCACCGCAUUGGCUCGUGACAUGACCCCGACCACUAGGGCCGCGGCAUCUUGCGUCUCAAUCUCCCGGAAGCAACCAAAGGCAUCGGAGAGGUUCAUCCACGACCUAGAUUUUUUGUGAGGAACCCCUGAAGCUAACGAACAAUGCAUGCUCUGCCAGAUCCUCGCCACCUGAAAGAUUGCCGCGAGUAUACCAACGCUGGGCGUCGCUCUAGUUCCCGCGCGUCCACGAACCACCGUCAUCACCCCAACAGCUCCCAUAGUCACCUACCAUCCGCCCCAGACUACCUUUGGUAGCUUGUCCCACCGUCCUGGUGAGGGCCGACGGUAGUGUCGACGAGGGGAGCCAGGGAUGGGGGAGGAGGCUGGCGGUGCGAGGUGUUGCCUUGGGGAUCGACACGGGAGGGGUCAUGGGAGAGCAUCACAUUUGGGAACCACUCUGGAUCUACAUAGAGUAUGGGUUUUCUGUUAAGAAUGCUUAUGCACUAUCUAUUUGUUACAUUUUUGUUUUGUGAAACAAUUGCUCAAACUCGUAAACUUUCAGCAAAAGCAGAAAUCCUGUAAACUAAUAGAAAUUACACCAAGGUCCCUUGGGAACUGGCCAAUUCCAUCAUCCUGAGGAGGCCUUGGCGUGUCGCUGCCGCUACUCAAUAGCCAUCGCUGCAUGGGUCUGUCACUACUUAGAUGAUGUGGCAAUUAGGAAGUCACUGUACCUAGGCCCCUGGAUGACCUAUACCCUUGAAGCCGGGUCAUGAUCGUCGGAAAGAGAAUAUAUCUCGAAGCCGAUGCACUGGAUCCCAUAAUGAUGACGAGCAUCGCUGCAACGAGGAUGGUGGCAAAGGACAGAACUCCAUUACACAACUAUCGUUCUUGCCUCAACGUCAGCACCUGGAAUUUAUAUACGGAGUCUAUAUACGGAGCAAGAUGAGUGAAUCUACACUUUAUAGUAUGUCCAUAUGCAUCCGUAUGUAGUGUGGAAUCUCUAGAAAGACUUAUAUUUAGGUACGGAGGGGGUACUUGUGAAGCACGCACUUACAGUAGUGUAUACGUAAUUACGUAGCCUUCACAAGUCUGAAAUACCCUGCUCCGUCAAAGAUAUUUUCUAAGGCUCUGGAACAUUCCAGACCCUUCCGAUCCUCACGCUCGCGCUUGCGCUUGCGCUUGCGCCGCCGUCCAAACCAGGGUCUGGACCAAAUUAUUCGCUCCGGUUAGCCGCCGAAUUGAUCCCGCACACCGUCCGGCGACCAAGCAGCGGCGAGCCGCCACGCGUCUUGUGGCGUGACAGGUGACGCAUUUCCGCACCACACGUUUCGUCUCCGGUCGGCCGCGCUAUGCACGACGGAAAUAUCCCAGCUAUCUGCCAAACUAAUACUCUAUCGAGCUCGAUCCAAUCCGUCACGUCGUGAACGUCGCGGUGGCUUCCAGCGACUGGUCCACAGACGCUAAAGGUAGGCCAACCCACACCAACUGGCCACACACGUAAGCACCAUCCGCAGCAACACGCACGCCACCUCAUCCUGACUGGCUGCCCAACCUAUAUAUUCUCCCCCGCCGAUCCAUCCAUCCAUUCUUCCUCCUACCGAGCUCCCAGAGAACAUACUAUCAAGAGAGCAUCAAUCAAAGUCAGCAACAAAUCCAUCUCCAUGGGAGCGGGCAUGGUGUCGCUGGCGCUGUCCCUCAGCACGGACUCCUCGGCGUCCACCACGACGUCGGACAACUCCUCCACCGGUGCGCCGGCGACGACGGCGGCAAGGAAUAAGGUGCGGCGUGGGAGAGUGGUGGCGACGUCGGGGGAGGGAGAGUUCGUGUGCAGGACGUGCGGCCGCGCCUUCGAGACGUUCCAGGCGCUGGGCGGGCACCGGACCAGCCACCUCCGCGGCCGCCAUGGGCUGGAGCUCGGCGUCGGCGUCGCCAGGGCCAUCAAGGAGAGGAAGCGGCAAGAGGACAUGGAGCAGCACGAUUGCCACAUCUGCGGGCUGGGCUUCGAGACGGGCCAGGCGCUCGGCGGCCACAUGCGGCGGCACCGCGAGGAGAUGGCGCUCGACCGGUGGGUCGCGCUGUCGGAUCAGGAGGCAGGGCACCAGGCCGCCGCGGCCGACCGGCUUCCCGUCUUGCUCGAGCUGUUCGUCUAGCCUGCUGCUAGCUGGACCUCAAUGCUUGUUAAUUCAGGCCUGCUCGAGCUGUUCGUAUAGUCUGCUAGCCUUCUUAGUCCAGGACUUGUGUAUAAAUUUCUUCAGAAUCAUAUAGGUUCAUUGUUCCACCUUGUAUAGAGUAUGUUCUUGCUGGUUGCUGGUUAGAGAAU
rnacentral:lncRNA from 1 species